rnacentral:lncRNA from 1 species
AAACGCUGCGAGGAGGUCGCACCAGCAAGUGAGGAAGCAGAAGGGAUGGCUUCCUGCGCCUCCCACACAAUUUUCAACUUUUCAGGAAGUACCAUAGGAGAAGUCAAGGCUUGGAAAUUGUGGUGAAAGAAGCUACGAAUGAGAUAAAUGUGUGUUCUUUCCACCCCUAAAAACAGUGUCACCACCACUCAUCCUUGAAACCAUCAGCAGCAGGGAAACCUGUGAGCGACGUUCACGUCUAGUGUCCAGUGCCUUGCGUGGUCCCAAUCACAAACCCCUAGCUCAGGGGCAGCGGGGCCAUGAACUAGGGAGGCCGCCGUAAUGACAGCCUGGCAGGAACCCUAUGUCCAAACCAGAGGAGCCCCCUCAGAGCAACCUCCACAGGCAGUGCUGCUGUCAAGGAAAUGCCAGAGCCGGGUGGUAGUUAACAUGGUAAGAGGAGACUUCAUUCAGGACCAUUGCAGUAGGGGAAACAGGUCCUCAGUAUAGAAGUGGGCUCAAUUCAGAAUACAGCAUAAGCAACUGGGACUCUACAGGCAAAGAGCAAGGUGAGGCUGGGUGGGUGGAAAAUUACAUCAGGGGUAAGGGGUCCUAGUUCAACCAACUCUGAGAAUAUAGAAAUAAACUCAGUUUCUCCCAUUAUAGCCUCAUAACACACUUCUGACACCAGCUGUGGGGAGGAUUUUCCCCACACCUCGAGCGAACAAUCAAUUCUGCAGUGGACCUCCACUUGGUCCUCCAACUGGGUAUUCUCCAAUUCAAUUCUGACAUUAUCCACCUGAGUGUCAGAUCCUGCAG